GAUGAACGCUGGCGGCGUGCCUAAUACAUGCAAGUAGAACGCUGAAGGAGGAGCUUGCUCUUCUGGAUGAGUUGCGAACGGGUGAGUAACGCGUAGGUAACCUGCCUGGUAGCGGGGGAUAACUAUUGGAAACGAUAGCUAAUACCGCAUGACAACAGUUAUUGCAUGAUAACUGUUUAAAAGGGGCAACUGCUCCACUACCAGAUGGACCUGCGUUGUAUUAGCUAGUUGGUGAGGUAACGGCUCACCAAGGCGACGAUACAUGGCCGACCUGAGAGGGUGAUCGGCCACACUGGGACUGAGACACGGCCCAGACUCCUACGGGAGGCAGCAGUAGGGAAUCUUCGGCAAUGGACGGAAGUCUGACCGAGCAACGCCGCGUGAGGGAAGAAGGGUUUCGGAUCGUAAAGCUCUGUUGCAAGAGAAGAACGAGUGUGAGAGUGGAAAGUUCACACUGUGACGGUAGCUUACCAGAAAGGGACGGCUAACUACGUG
rnacentral:rRNA from 1 species